AACGAACGCUGGCGGCAUGCCUAACACAUGCAAGUCGAACGAGACCUUCGGGUCUAGUGGCGCACGGGUGCGUAACGCGUGGGAACCUGCCCUUGGGUUCGGAAUAACUCCCCGAAAGGGGUGCUAAUACCGGAUAAUGUCUUCGGACCAAAGAUUUAUCGCCUUUGGAUGGGCCCGCGUUGGAUUAGCUAGUUGGUAGGGUAAAAGCCUACCAAGGCGACGAUCCAUAGCUGGUCUGAGAGGAUGAUCAGCCACACUGGGACUGAGACACGGCCCAGACUUCUUACGGAAGGAGGAAGGGGGAAUAAUGGAACAUGGGGCGAAGGCUGAUUCAGCAAAGGCGGGGGAGGGAUGAAGGGCUUAGGGUUGUAAAGCCUCUUUAACCGGGAAGGUAAUGACCGGACCGGGAGAAUAAGCCCCGGCUAACUCCGUG
rnacentral:rRNA from 1 species